rnacentral:rRNA from 1 species
AGUAAGUGCUGUAGUAUUACAGAUUACUGCUAGUGGCAGACGGGUGAGUAAUACAUGGGAAUCUACCUCGAAGUCUGGGAUAACUGUUGGAAACGACAGCUAAUACCGGAUAUUGCCGAGAGGUGAAAGUUUUUCGCUUCGAGAUGAGCCCAUGCAAGAUUAGCUAGUUGGUGGGGUAAUGGCCUACCAAGGCGAAGAUCUUUAGCUGGUCUAAGAGGAUGAUCAGCCACACUGGAACUGAGACACGGUCCAGACUCCUACGGGAGGCAGCAGUGGGGAAUAUUGGACAAUGGGCGAAAGCCUGAUCCAGCGACGCCGCGUGAGUGAAGAAGGCCUUCGGGUUGUAAAGCUCUUUCAGUAGGGAAGAUAAUGACGGUACCUACAGAAGAAGCUCCGGCUAACUUCGUGCCAGCAGCCGCGGUAAUACGAAGGGAGCUAGCGUUACUCGGAAUCAUUGGGCGUAAAGCGUGCGUAGGCGGCUUUAUAAGUCGGAAGUGAAAGCCUGGGGCUCAACCCCAGAAUUGCUUUCGAUACUGUAGAGCUAG